rnacentral:rRNA from 1 species
GACAAAGGAUGCAAGCGUUAUCCGGAAUGAUUGGGCGUAAAGCGUAUGUAGGCGGCUUUUUAAGUCCGCCGUCAAAUCCCAGGGCUCAACCCUGGACAGGCGGUGGAAAGUACCAAGCUGGAGUACGGUAGGGGCAGAGGGAAUUUCCGGUGGAGCGGUAAAAUGCGUAGAGAUCGGAAAGAACACCAACAGCGAAAGCACUCUGCUGGGCCGACACUGACACUGAGAGACGAAAGCUAGGGGAGUGAAUAGG